rnacentral:rRNA from 1 species
GAUGAACGCUGGCGGCGUGCCUAAUACAUGCAAGUCGAACGCUUCACUUCGGUGAAGAGUGGCGAACGGGUGAGUAAUACAUAAGUAACCUGGCAUCUACAGGGGGAUAACUGAUGGAAACGUCAGCUAAGACCGCAUAGGUGUAGAGAUCGCAUGAACUCUAUAUGAAAAGUGCUACGGGACUGGUAGAUGAUGGACUUAUGGCGCAUUAGCUUGUUGGUAGGGUAACGGCCUACCAAGGCGACGAUGCGUAGCCGACCUGAGAGGGUGACCGGCCACACUGGGACUGAGACACGGCCCAGACUCCUACGGGAGGCAGCAGUAGGGAAUUUUCGGCAAUGGGGGAAACCCUGACCGAGCAACGCCGCGUGAAGGAAGAAGUAAUUCGUUAUGUAAACUUCUGUCAUAGAGGAAGAACGGUGGAUAUAGGGAAUGAUAUCCAAGUGACGGUACUCUAUAAGAAAGC